CUGAGGGGUUCGCGAAGGCGCUGGCUGAGGAGGCAAAAGCACGGUACCCUAAUGCCAUAUUUAAAGUCGUGGAUAUCGACGAAUAUGCUACUGAGGAUGAUGAGUACGAGGAGAACCUGAAAAAGGAGAGCUUGGCUUUGUUCUUCUUGGCUAUGUAAG